rnacentral:rRNA from 1 species
UGGGGAAUUUUGGGACAAUGGGCGAAAGCCUGAUCCAGCAAUGCCGCGUGUGUGAAGAAGGCCUUCGGGUUGUAAAGCACUUUUGUCCGGAAAGAAAUCCUUGGCUCUAAUACAGUCGGGGGAUGACGGUACCGGAAGAAUAAGCACCGGCUAACUACGUGCCAGCAGCCGCGGUAAUACGUAGGGUGCAAGCGUUAAUCGGAAUUACUGGGCGUAAAGCGUGCGCAGGCGGUUUGCUAAGACCGAUGUGAAAUCCCCGGGCUCAACCUGGGGACUGCAUUGGUGACUGGCAGGCUAGAGUAUGGCAGAGGGGGGUAGAAUUCCACGUGUGAGCAGUGAAAUGCGUAGAGAUGUGGAGGAAUACCGAUGGCGAAGGCAGCCCCC